rnacentral:rRNA from 1 species
UGGGGAAUAUUGCACAAUGGGCGCAAGCCUGAUGCAGCCAUGCCGCGUGUGUGAAGAAGGCCUUCGGGUUGUAAAGCACUUUCAGCGAGGAGGAAGGUGGUGAACUUAAUACGUUCAUCAAUUGACGUUACUCGCAGAAGAAGCACCGGCUAACUCCGUGCCAGCAGCCGCGGUAAUACGGAGGGUGCAAGCGUUAAUCGGAAUUACUGGGCGUAAAGCGCACGCAGGCGGUUUGUUAAGUCAGAUGUGAAAUCCCCGGGCUCAACCUGGGAACUGCAUUUGAAACUGGCAAGCUAGAGUCUCGUAGAGGGGGGUAGAAUUCCAGGUGUAGCGGUGAAAUGCGUAGAGAUCUGGAGGAAUACCGGUGGCGAAGGCGGCCCCCCUGGACGAAGACUGACGCUCAGGUGCGAAAGCGUGGGGAGCAAGCAGGAUUAGAUACCCUGGUAGUCCACGCUGUAAACGAUGUCGAUUUGGAGGUUGUGCCCUUGAGGCGUGGNUUCCGGAGCUAACGCGUUAAAUCGACCGCC